CAUGGUGACCACGGACAAUUUUUUUACCUCUUUACCGCUAGUGGAAGCGCUGAAGAAGAAGAAAAUUGCUUUAGUGGGCACCCUAAGAAAAUAUAAAGGGGAGCUCCCUUCAGCACUACUGACAAUAACAAACAGGCAGCCACUAUCAAGAGGGAAGAAUGUCCUUGUCCUCAGCACAAGACACUGCGACCCAGAGGUUCCGGAGGGCAAAGGCAAGAAGCCGCAGAUAGUGCUGGACUAUAACAAGUGCAAGGGUGCAGUUGACCAUUUGGACCAGAUUUGUGGUUCUUACUCCUGGCGCCGGCGGGCGCUAAGGUGGCCCAUAUGUUUGUUUCACCAUACUGGACAUUUCAGCGUACAACGCGUUUGUGUUGUUUACACACGUGGAGCCUGAAUGGAACAAGCAAAAACUUUUCAAAAGGUGUCUCUUUCAUGAAGAGUUAGCCAAGACUGAAGGAAUUCGCCCCCCCCGCCAAGCUCUGGAAACGGCGACAGCUGAACGAAGUGCCGCUCUGCUGAUGCUGCAUCCGUGAGUCAACCGGUGGGGGCCAAUAUUCCGUGCGUUCCCUUCCUGUGUACUGACUCCAUGUUCCAAAAGUUUGAAGAAGGCUCACCGAAAACAGGUUGACAAUUUAUUCGUUGACAAUGGUCAAAAAACAAGGCAAAAACAGAGGAACAAUGCUGGCUCCAGGGUCGUUAAAACAAUGGCUACAUAGCAAUGUUUCCGAGCAGCGAAGCGUUUGUUAUCUCAGUGUCCAGUCUUUUUGAAAGCUGCGGUGGAGUGGGCCGGGCCAAAGGUGUGGCUGGGUGUUGUCUUGGGAUGAUCCCCCUUGGCCAGUUUUGGGCGGUUAGGUCCAUGCAUGGCUGGGACGUGGUUGCCACAGCGACCGGCGCUGGUCUUGACGUCCCAAGCGCCCGCUAUCAACUUUGUUAUCCUGGCUGGGCGAAACGCUCCUUGUUUUAGAACAUUGCUUGGAGUGGCCGGGAGAACUGAUUGCAAGAAUUGGUGCGUCAAUCUUGCCCAUGACGCACAGUUGGGCUUCUGUGAUAAGAUGGCGUUGUGUAUCUAUUCUGCUUCUUUUCAUUAAACUAUGGUGUGCUACUUGUUUUAUAUUCGGUGUUUUAGAGUAGUACAACAAUCCUACAGUACAUAUGAGAAAUGAUACUAUUCCCUGAUUGAUUGAAUUACGGUUGUUAGAGUAAUGCAAACAGUUAAACGGUGCUUACGAGAAACGGUUCCAUCUUUUUCAUUUCCCCCUCAUGAGCCCCAACAGGGCUGAUAAGGUGAUUCACUUUACUGUGUCCAAAGGCAUGGAGUGAAGUCUACCUAAACUAUAGUUAGAUGCUUAACUAUAAUGAAUGUGUUAGACUAAUACAAACAAUUAUAUGGUGUGUGCGAGAAAUUGAACUAUUCCCUUCAACUCUGAUCAUGCCGGAAGUGACCUGCAGAAAGAGGAGGUGGUUAGAAGAGCCUGAAGCAGAAGGUGAUGCUAAGCGGCCAGCUGCGGUUCCACUACCAGCCCCAGUGAAGCCGCAAGUGACCCGCAGAAAGAGGAAGCGGUCAGAAGAGCCUGCAGCAGAAAGUGAGGCUGAGCAGCGAGCUGCGGUUCCAUCACCAGCCCCAGUGAGGCCGCAAUUGAGAAGGAGGCAGUGUGGCCUCUGCAAAGUAAAAUUGCAGGCUAAACACUCCUGUGCAACAUGCGGGGUUGCUAUUUGCAACAAGCACACAAAGAGAAAGUUAGUAGUUUACAUAUUAGAUAAAAAGAAUAUAAACGGUCAUUUUAGUAGUUGCUGUGUGCUCUUGUUAAAAGGGCAAAUCUCGAAAGCAGAACGGUUUGUUUAUCUCGGUCCAUGAUGCUUUUUUGUCGACAGCCGUUAGACAGCGGCGAAAACAUUAGUGUUGUAUCGGUCGCGAACGAUUCGUUCUUUUUGAACGAAUUGUUUGUGUGAACGAGACCGAACUAAUCACCAUCUGCACUGAUUCGUUCUAUGAAGUUGGUGCUUGUUCACUGCGUGGGAGGGCGUUGAGCAAGCGGCAGCGUCUUCUGACAUCGCACACGACCAAUCAGACGCCAGCCUCAUCGCAGGCAGGGGAGGGACCGGAAACAGAAUCAGGGCGUAUGUCACUCACUUCCACGUGUGGCCAAUGAGCAGCCAGCGUGCAGGCAGGGGGGCAAGACUGAGUUUUGUCACUUCCCGUUCAGUGACUCGGUCCUCCGGCUCCUGACCUAGCUUGCUGCUAACUUGUCUUUCCAGUAAUGACUAUGCGGUGAACGAAUCAAAAAAUGAAAGGAAAGGACUUUGUCACAUAUUUGUUAACGUGGAGCCUAUCAAAUGCAGCUCAAAAAGACAAAAACACCACACAAAUCUAGCGAGCAUGGUUUAGUGUACUACUUUUCUCAACAGACUCGCGACUACCUAUUACGACAUACUAUCAAAUUUACAGUAAUUUAAAACACGGGUAGCUACGAAGCAAGCAAAAGCUGAGCUGCGGUCGCGUGACGGCAAUGAAGGGGGCAAAGAACUGUCACUAUAUGGAGGCUUCAUGGCAGCGAUAUUUACCUCAUAUGUGCACAGAAAAAAAGAAUAUUUAGUAUGAUCACCAUAAUACUGAUUUACAAUGAAACGGUAUAUACAUGUCCAUUUUUUCCAAGUGUUUUAUUUUUUUUUUUUUCGUGUCAGGUGUUGGUUGGUUUGACAAAUUAUGUCAAUCCGUCCAUCAUGUGCUACUCAAGCGCCCCAAAACAACGCACAUGGACACGGGAGAUGUCGCAAUAUGUCUACAUUUUUCUUAACAGACUAAUGAGAGUAGAAAGGCGAUAUCGUAAAGAGCAAACAAUUAUUUCUCGUCAGCAUUUGACGAUCUGAGAUGCGGGGACGACAGGGGAGCUGACCGGAUUAUUUUAUUUAUUAAUACCAGUGUAAAAAUUCAAUCCGAUCACCAUAAUACUGAUUUGCAAUGAAACUGUAUAUACAUGUCAAUUUUUUCCGAGUGUGGAUUAUUUUAUUUAUUAAUACCAGUGCAAAAAUUCAAUCCGAUCACCAUAAUACUGAUUUGCAAUGAAACUGUAUAUACAUGUCAAUUUUUUCCGAGUGUUUUAUUUUUUUUUUUCGUGUCAGAGCGUGUCGGUUGGUUUGACAAAUUAUGUCAAUCCGUCCAUCAUGCGCUACUCAAGCGCCCCAAAACAACGCACGCGGACACGGGAGAUGUCGCAAUAUGUCUACAUUUUUCUUAACAGACUAAUGAGGGUAGAAAGGCGACAUCGUAAAGAGCAAGCAAUCAUUUCUCUUCAGCAUUUGACGAGCUGAGAUGCGGGGACGACAGGGGAGUUGACCGGAUUAUUUUAUUUAUUAAUACCAGUGCAAAAAUUCAAUACGAUCAUCUUAAUACUGAUUUGCAAUUAAACUCAAAUAUCAAAAUGUAGUAUUGUCUUUAUUUCAGAGCAGCACAUUCGACAACUAGCUAUUUACACUUAUAGUUUUAACAAUAGUGACUAAAAAUAAUAGUGAUGAGCAUAAAAACAAAAAUACAACAGAGCGAGAGGUAAAUAUGAUGUGUUGGUCGUUCCAUAUUUAUAAAUUAAACUUUCGAUUUAUUUUUAUUUUCGUGACAGCAAGCAUGCUGCGUUAAAUGUGAUCAAGAACAUGCCAAGUCCGUGCGCCCCCGACCCCAACCCCCCGCUCCCCCCACAAAAGGAAAAUGUUUAACCGUGUCCUCAAUCGAAAUGCAAGCACGAGCCAUGACUUUGAGCCUAUAGAACUAGGACAGACGGCGCGGAAGUUCUCCUUCGCUUUUGCAGCAGCGGGAGGGAGGGAGAUGAGGCUGUCUGUGUCGCUUUUGCAGCAGCGGGAGGGAGGGAGACGAGGCUGUCUGUGAAAGCAGAAUGAUAUUGCCUGUCACUCAUUACUGAAACUACGACGAAUGGUCAAUGUGUGCAAGAGAGGGAGGGACCAAGAAUGUCACUUCCCGUUCAGUUAUACUGCGAAGCGGUCUUUGGUGAUUCGUUCGGCAACGUCACUUCCCGUUCACUAACCGAACGAUUCAUUUGGGCGGGGAGGGAGAUGAGGGGGGCGAACGAUUCGUUGAACGAUUCGUUUGAACGAAUCUUUUUACUGAACGAUCCGGAAUGGAUUCGUUUACUCAAGUGAACGACAAAUCCCGUCACUAGAAAACAUCAAUAUGAUGCCAACAUGAUCGCAGACAUCAUCAGACAGAGACUACAAAGCUCGUCGCCACAUUUGCGCAACAACAGGUGCUGUGCCGAGAAAUAGCCACCCUGUGUGAAAUGUCCCCCCUGACGGGAGCGCCCACACGUAAACGGCUUUCUUGUUCCAUGAAUAUGUAUUAUUUUACUGUGCUUGAACAAAUAAAUGUUAUACCUGUGUGAUUGUCAUUGGGAUAUGGUCGUGAAAACCUGUAGACUAAUACAUUUCUGUUCAAAGAUGGUUAUGUGGCCCAGUCCAGGGCCUUAGAAAGAGGGUUACGACACUCCCAUAGAGAUCCAUUAUACGAUUUUACUUCCGGGUACUUCCGGGUUACGGAGCCUCGUGUAGUUCCAAACAUGGCUUCGAUGAGAGCGGACCGCAUUCAUACGAUGUAAAGUAUAUUCGGAGGUUACUUUUUCAUGAUCCACAUCAUGCUGCUGUCGGUCUACGUUCCUACCCUAACCUAUAGUCACGACCCAGGACACGCUGGAGAGACUGUGUCUCGGCUGGCCUGGGAACGCCUUGGGACCUCGCCGGAGGAGCUGGAUGAAGUGGCUGGGGAGAGGGAAGUCUGGGCUUCCCUGUUAAAGCUGCUGCCCCCGCGACCAGACACCAGAGCAAGUGGAAGAUGAUGGAUGGAUGGACAUCAUGCUGCUGGUGGUGCCUGCUGAUGGUGACUGCUGGCUGUGCGCACUAAGCCCAUUUUUUAAAUGGCAACAAACAAACAAAAAAAAGCAUUUUUUUUCAUGUUUUGACGACUGACCAUUGCCAUUCAUUUUUUUUCUGCUGCUCAUGGUCCAUGGGGAAACCAUGCUGCACACAAACCAUCACAGGUCACUGAUCUAAAAAAUGUUAGGUGUAAACAAUGAACCAUGACACCAAUUUCACCAAUUUUUCCAUAAAUAUUGUGAUUUUCUUUAUCAAAGGUAAUAAGUUGUUAUUGUUAUACAUUGCACCAUGUUGAGGAAAAUCAUAAGAUGUUUUUCCUGUCUUGUCUUUGUGUUGCUUGGGUCCAAAAUGAAAAAUGCCUCUAAAGAGGUACAGGUUUGGUUUUGCUAAAAUUAGGGGCUAUAUUCAAAAUUUAGUUGUUUUGCACUGUUAAAUGUCAUUUGUUUGUGUUUCAGGUCAAACUAAGGGCCCAAGUACACCACAUGCGUGAUCGUUGCGUUUCCGGUCCGACUCCGGUAAAAAAUAGCGCCGGAGCCAAUCCGUUCCCAUUAUAUCCUAUUGUUCAACGUAUACCGGCCGCGUCAGUGCUCCGGAUUGACUGCGAACCACCUCCGGCGUGCCGCAUGCCCGCCGGAUGGUAUAGGCUAUUUUCUAUUUCUGCCGGACACGCAUCCGAUAAAAUGGGCGGAGCUGGGCCUGACGUCAAAAGCCCAGGUGCCUAAUCACGGUUUAAACACGAGCGAAAAUGGAUGAUGAGCGCUUCAUCAUGGAGGUGGAAAGUCACAAAGUGAUAUACAUGCAGCAGAUAUUACUAUAAGGACACCAUUAAAAGCGAAACUGCAAAGUGUCCUAUUAUGUGUGUUUUUCUGGCAAUUAUAUCAAACACGACGUGCUAAGCAAAAAAACAAAAAAAAAAGACAGCGUAUCUGGAAGUGGUUCCACUGCGGAAAUUCUCGUGCCCCGCGCACAAACAAUCUCGGUUUGUAUACAGAGUCGAGGGGGGCAAGUACGAAAGAGAAAAAAGAGACACCCACAAGUUUCGACCUGGUGGUCUAUUCAAGACGUUUCUCUUUCUUUCCUACAUUUCACUUGACUCUUCAUAGAAAAAACAACAGUUUGCGCUGGCCACAUGAAUCUGCAGUGUUGAGACACCAAUUCCAAGUACGCUGUUUUUUUAGUUCGUGUCGAAUAUAAUUCGCUAUCCAUUUUAUAAACAUGACAGAUUAUUUAUCAGUUGUUUAUAACAGCUCUAUGAGAUGUUAUGUGCCAUAAAUUUUAA